AUGAACGCUGGCGGCGUGCCUAAUACAUGCAAGUCGAGCGAACGGACGAGAAGCUUGCUUCUCUGAUGUUAGCGGCGGACGGGGGAGUAACACGUGGAUAACCUACCUAUAAGACUGGGAUAACUUCGGGAAACCGUAGCUAAUACCGGAUAAUAUUUUGAACCGCAUGGUUCAAAAGUGAAAGACGGUCUUGCUGUCACUUAUAGAUGGAUCCGCGCUGCAUUAGCUAGUUGGUAAGGUAACGGCUUACCAAGGCAACGAUGCAUAGCCGACCUGAGAGGGUGAUCCGCCAACCUGGAACUGGGACACGGUCCAGACUCCUACGGGAGGCAGCAGUAGGGAAUCUUCCGCAAAGGGCGAAAGCCUGACGGAGCAACGCCGCGUGAGUGAUGAAGGUCUUCGGAUCGUAAAACUCUGUUAUUAGGGAAGAACAUAUGUGUAAGUAACUGUGCACAUCUUGACGGUACCUAAUCAGAAAGCCACGGCUAACUACGUG
rnacentral:rRNA from 1 species